rnacentral:rRNA from 1 species
GAUGAACGCUAGCGGGAGGCUUAACACAUGCAAGCCGAGGGGUAUAGUUCUUUCGGGAACUAGAGACCGGCGCACGGGUGCGUAACGCGUAUGCAACUUGCCCUACUGAAAAGGAUAGCCCUUCGAAAGGCGGAUUAAUACUUUAUAACAGAUUUAAUGGCAUCAUUAGGUUUUGAAAGAUUUAUCGCAGUAGGAUAGGCCUGCGUAAGAUUAGUUAGUUGGUGAGGUAACGGCUCACCAAGACGAUGAUCUUUAGGGGGCCUGAGAGGGUGAACCACCACAACGGUACCGAGACACGGACCACACUGCUACGGGAGGCAGCAGUGAGGAAUAUUGGGGGGUGGGUGGAAGCCUGAUCAAGCCAUCCCGCGUGUAGGAUGACGGGCUUAGGGGUUGUAAUCUACUUUUAACUGAGGAUAAUCCUACUUACGUGUAAGUAGCUGAAGGUACCAGAAGAAUAAGCACCGGCUAACUACGUG